GAGGAGAAAAAGUGAGAACUCUUAGAGCAUCAUUAUCGCUGUAUGCAACUCCCGUAUCUUAGCAUUAACUGAAUUAAAAGAAAAGGAAAAUUGGGUUAAUUAAGAGAAGACGUAUCUUAAUUAGGGGAAGGAAGAGACCGUGUUUUGAGACACGUGUUGUGUUGUGGGUGUUCAGAAGCAAACCCGUGUCUCUCUCCCUUCUUCGAUUUCGCUGAAAUCACAGCAACUCUCCGACGGCGAUUUCUUCAUCUCUCAAUGAUCUGAUGAUGGAUUCGGCGUCUCUCUCGUCGGACUCGUCGUCUCUGUCGGACUUGCGUCUGUCUCGUCGGACUCGUCGUAUCUCUCUCUCUCUCGAUCACUUCUGAUUAGUUCUGUUUUGUCUCUGUCUUUGUUGGAUUAGAUGGACUCGUCGUAUUGACUUGUUUCUUUGAUUUGGAUGUCUUUUGUGGAAUAUAUCAUUCUUACAAACAGAAUGAUGUUGAACAAUCGGAUCAUUUUGGUAGGGGAAGGGUUAGUAGGCCGAGCUGCAUUUACAGGACAUCAUCAAUGGAUCCUAGCAGAUAGUUUCAACCGCGGUGGUGUUCAUCCACCUGAGGUUCAAUGAGAUGCUUCUCCAAUUAUCUGCUGGUAUUCAGACCGUCGCAGUUUUUCCAGUUGUUCCUCAUGGUGUUGUUCAUCUCGGUUCCUCCUUGCCUGUAAGUUUCUGCAAGCAAGGAGAAGGAUGGCAAAAUCCAGAUGCUUUGCUGAAUCAAAACUUCUCUUGUAUCUAACUACACUGGUGACAAGGCAAUUGGGAAAGUGUGAGCAGGUCUGUUUGAAUCUUGAGAUAGUUUUAAACUUUUAACAAUCUCUUUAGCUCUCAUGCACUAUCUUCGCAAGGUCCUUGCUUCCAAGGGAUCAGUCAUUUGAUUUUCCUGUUGAUUCAGAUACAAUUGAAGUCGCUGGCGGAGGAAAUGUAAGUUGUCAACCUUUAGUAGACCCCAAGCUCUUACAUUUGACAAUAUGUUUGAUCUUGAAAUGUAUGUUAAUGUCUUUCUAAUAAUCAAUAAAUUUGAAGUUUAAUAACAAAAUGUUUAAGAUUUUUUUUUAA